AAAUAAGCAUAUCAAUAAGCGGAGGAAAAGAAACCAACAGGGAUUGCCUCAGUAACGGCGAGUGAAGCGGCAACAGCUCAAAUUUGAAAUCUGGCCUCUUUCGGGGUCCGAGUUGUAAUUUGGAGAGGAUGUUUCGGGUACGGUCCGGGCUUAAAUUUCUUGGAACAGAAUGUCACGGAGGGUGAGAAUCCCGUCUGGAGCUCGGACACGGCCUAUGUGAAACUCCUUCGACGAGUCGAGUUGUUUGGGAAUGCAGCUCUAAAUGGGUGGUAAAUUUCAUCUAAAGCUAAAUAUUGGCCAGAGACCGAUAGCGCACAAGUAGAGUGAUCGAAAGAUGAAAAGCACUUUGAAAAGAGAGUUAAACAGUACGUGAAAUUGUUGAAAGGGAAGCGCUGGCAACCAGACUUGCGCGUCGGGGUUCCCCCUUGCUUCUGCCUGGGUUACUCCCCGGCGUUCAGGCCAACAUCGGUUUUGGGGGUUGGUUAAAGGCCCUGGGAAUGUACCUACCCUCCGGGGUAGACUUAUAGCCCAGGGUGUCAUGCGACCUCCCGGGACCGAGGAACGCGCUUCGGCUCGGAUGUUGGCGUAAUGGUUGUCAGCGACCCGUCUUGAAACACGGACCAAGGAGUCUAACAUCUAUGCGAGUGUUAGGGUGUCAAACCCUUACGCGGAAUGAAAGUGAACGGAGGUAGGAAGCCUUUAGGCUGCACUAUCGACCGAUCCUGAAGUUUACGGAUGGAUUUGAGUAAGAGCAUAGCUGUUGGGACCCGAAAGAUGGUGAACUAUGCCUGAAUAGGGUGAAGCCAGAGGAAACUCUGGUGGAGGCUCGCAGCGGUUCUGACGUGCAAAUCGAUCGUCAAAUUUGGGUAUAGGGGCGAAAGACUAAUCGAACCAUCUGGUAGCUGGUUCCUGCCGAAGUUCCCCCUUCAGGAA
rnacentral:rRNA from 1 species